GAUGAACGCUGGCGGCGUGCCUAAUACAUGCAAGUCGAGCGAAUGGAUUGAGAGCUUGCUCUUAUGAAGUUAGCGGCGGACGGGUGAGUAACACGUGGGUAACCUGCCCAUAAGACUGGGAUAACUCCGGGAAACUGUAGCUAAUACCGGAUACGACCCUCGGAGGCAUCUCCUGGGGGUGGAAAGAAUUUCGGUCAAGGAUGGACUCGCGGCCUAUCAGCUAGUUGGUGAGGUAACGGCUCACCAAGGCGACGACGGGUAGCCGGCCUGAGAGGGUGACCGGCCACACUGGGACUGAGACACGGCCCAGACUCCUACGGGAGGCAGCAGUGGGGAAUAUUGCACAAUGGGCGCAAGCCUGAUGCAGCAACGCCGCGUGAGGGAUGACGGCCUUCGGGUUGUAAACCUCUUUUAGUAGGGAAGAAGCGAAAGUGACGGUACCCGCAGAAAAAGCACCGGCUAACUACGUGCCAGCCGCCGCCGUAA
rnacentral:rRNA from 1 species